GGUUGAUCCCGCCGGACCUGACUGCUAUCGGAUUGAUACUAAGCCAUGCGAGUCAUUGUAGCAAUACAAGGCAGACGGCUCAGUAACGCGUAGUCAACCUAACCUAUGGACGGGAAUAACCUCGGGAAACUGAGAAUAAUGCCUGAUAGAACACUAUACCUGGAAUGGUUUGUGUUCCAAAUGAUUUAUCGCCGUAGGAUGGGACUGCGGCCUAUCAGUUUGUUGGUGAGGUAAUGGCCCACCAAGACUAUUACAGGUACGGGCUCUGAGAGGAGUAGCCCGGAGAUGGGUACUGAGACACGGACCCAGGCCCUAUGGGGCGCAGCAGGCGAGAAAACUUUGCAAUGUGCGAAAGCACGACAAGGUUAAUCCGAGUGAUUUGUGCUAAACGAAUCUUUUGUUAGUCCUAGAACCACUAACGAAUAAGGGGUGGGCAAGUUCUGGUGUCAGCCGCCGCGGUAAAACCAGCACCUCAAGUGGUCAGGAUGAUUAUUGGGCCUAAAGCAUCCGUAGCCGGCUCUGUAAGUUUUCGGUUAAAUCUGUACGCUUAACGUACAGGCUGC
rnacentral:rRNA from 1 species